UACGGGGGGAGCAAGCGUUGUUCGGAUUUACUGGGCGUAAAGCGCACGUAGGCGGAUUGUUAAGUCAGGGGUGAAAUCCUGGAGCUCAACUCCAGAACUGCCUUUGAUACUGGCGAUCUCGAGUCCGGGAGAGGUGAGUAGAACUGCGAGUGUAGAGGUGAAAUUCGUAGAUAUUCGCAAGAACACCAGUGGCGAAGGCGGCUCACUGGCCCGGUACUGACGCUGAGGUGCGAAAGCGUGGGGAGCAAACAGG
rnacentral:rRNA from 1 species